UGGGGUGUGGUCCAACUGGUAGGGCGCCCGGCUGUUAACCGGGAGGUUGGAGGUUCGAGUCCUCCCGCCCCAG
rnacentral:tRNA from 1 species